rnacentral:rRNA from 1 species
UAAACACGUGGGUAAACCCGCCCAUCAGAGGGGGAAUAACACUUGGAAACAGGUGCUAAUACCGCAUAAUAGUCGACACCGCAUGGUGUUGAUUUGAAAGACGCUUUCGGGUGUCACUGAUGGAUGGACCCGCGGUGCAUUAGCUAGUUGGUGAGGUAACGGCUCACCAAGGCCAUGAUGCAUAGCCGAACCUGAGAGGGUGAUCGGCCACACUGGGACUGAGACACGGCCCAGACUCCUACGGGAGGCAGCAGUAGGGAAUCUUCGGCAAUGGACGAAAGUCUGACCGAGCAACGCCGCGUGAGUGAAGAAGGUUUUCGGAUCGUAAAACUCUGUUGUUAGAGAAGAACAAGUGGGAGAGUAACUGCUCCCGCCUUGACGGUAUCUAACCAGAAAGCCACGGCUAACUACGUGCCAGCAGCCGCGGUAAUACGUAGGUGGCAAGCGUUGUCCGGAUUUAUUGGGCGUAAAGCGAGCGCAGGCGGUUUCUUAAGUCUGAUGUGAAAGCCCCCGGCUCAACCGGGGAGGGUCAUUGGAAACUGGGAGACUUGAGUGCAGAAGAGGAGAGUGGAAUUCCAUGUGUAGCGGUGAAAUGCGUAGAUAUAUGGAGGAACACCAGUGGCGAAAGCGACUCUCUGGUCUGUAACUGA